AGCGUGGGGCUGCUGGUGCCCCUCUCCGGUGUGCUGCUGGAGCUGGGUCCCUUCCCACCUCCCUUCCCACAUCCCUCCCACCCGCUGGCACUCGCGCCAGGGGCUCCGGCAGGGCUUGGCAUCACCUCGGAACAGCCAGGAUCAGGAACACAGCCCCCUCCGUGACACAGCUAUGAAAUCCUACCUCUAAAGCAGGAAUUUUUGGAGAAGCCGUGCAACCAAGCAGUCAGGAGACAGAGGAGAGCCAGCAGAAGGACAGGAGCACACAAACAUGAACAAGAUUAAACAGCAGCAUAGCUGGGACACCAGCCUACAGUGGCAAAGGCAGCACAGGACUCCAGCUGAACCACCAGUGGAUUUUAUUGCUUAGCCCCACAAAGAGCUGUGGUGUGAUAGGUGAUGGAGGAACAAGGGAAGAACCAGACAUCCCUGAGCCAGUACUGAUACCAAGAGAAGGAAUACUAAUUCUUAGUCCCUGAAGACGCCGUCAGGAUUCAGAGGAAGAAGAUGACACUGCCCAGACAGAAUCCUGUGUUUGAAUGGAAUUGAUGCAUCAUGGAUGAGGUGUAUGAAUAUGCAACAGGCUCUUGCUUUUAAGGGUUAAUCCUCUGUUAACGUGGGUCCUUUUUCGGGCUUAUUUUGCCCAGAAAGAGGUACCCGGACUGCCCAUAACUCUUUGUUUCUAUUGUCUCAUAUUGUCCUAAUCUCAAUUGUCCAAAAUUUUUAUUACUUUAAUUAUAUUACUAUUUUUAUAACCAUUUUAUUACUAUGAAACUUUUAAAAUUUUAAAGACAAGUGAUUGGCGUUUUUUACAAAAGACAAGCAGGACAAACAGCCAGGCCAUGAUACAGCAUUCCUGCCUGAUGCUUUCCUGGCUGUGAGAAGUGACUCACAUCAGUGCAAUGAUUCUCUGCUUGCCAAGGAGGUUCUCUGGCAAGGCAGGAUGGAACAGAGCACACCAACCACUUCCAACUUCUCUGGUUUGGGGAGCACAUCUGGAACAAAUGGCACAGGAAUAUCUUCAUUACUCCUCUGCUCUCAGCUAUCCACCUGUAGCCAUUAUAAAUGCUCUGCCAGUUUCUCUGUGCAUGCACAUUCCAUCAGCAGCCUGCUCCUGCCCUGGAUACAAAUUCAGACAAAGCUGUGCCCUGGCUGGGAUCCCAGCCCCACCCUACAAAAAUGGAGCUGGUCCUGCAGAACUGCCUGUACAGCAGGGCUCUCCCCUGCACGGCUGGGAAAGGAUAACCAUCUCCUCACUCUGGCAGAGCUGGUUAGGCUACAAGAAGCCUGGAAUGUGGACACUGCUGAAAUUAAAGCAGCCAGAAAUCAAGUAAGAAGAAAAAUUGGCUUAAAGCCAUCUUUGUUCUGACCCUUUUUAUUUCCAUCAAGGACUGUUAUGACCAAACACUGGGUAGGCAAUCCAUGGCCAGCUAUGCCUUUAAAACAUACUUCCAUUAUCUCCUGGAGGCCACUGCAGCUCAGCAAAUAUCCUGAGAAGUUUGCUCAGUUGAUGAACAGGAAAAACAGAGGAUGGUGCUGGACAAGCAGUUAUGUAAGUCAAGGCACCCUGGUGCAACCUGGAGCCUUGUGGCUCUGCUUCUGCAGUAGGGAAGAGAUCUGUUUAGCUAUGUAAAUAAGAUGCAUAAAUAAAUAAAUAAGAAUUGCAAUGGGCUGAGAAAAGCACCCAGACCCUGGCCUUUUCAGUAUCUUAGCAACAGGCUGGCUGCUGCAGGGUAAGAGAGCAUGAAAUCAGCAUCUCUUCAGCUAAAGACAAAUUGAAUGGAAAUGUGGGGAGCUGGUCUUUUCCUGGCAGCAGUGAGGGAAGAAGAAGUAACUGGUGAAUCUGAUCCAGUGGGCAUCCUUUAGGAGGGGUUCCUGAAAGCAGGGAUUGUUAACUAAUGUGGCUGAGAGGCUUUGUCCUGCCAGCAAACUGAUACAUUCCAGAGCAUGCCUGGGAAACCAAUAAUUCAAUCUUGAUUCAAAUGUCUGUUACAGUCACCUCCUGGGUUAAUUACUUAUUAACCAUCUUAAAUAGCUCAAACCCAGUUCUCCUGGCCUCCCCUGGCUAUGUUAGUGCCAGCUGACCAUAGAGCAUGUUUUCAGUGGCAAUUACCUAAAACAUCUCCCCAGCACUGCACGCUCAGGUUUUAUCACCAUGCUAUCUCUGCACUCACUAAAGGAAUGUGCACCCUGUGAAUCUUUAAGUAACUGAAUCUCAGCAAUACAAACCCAUUUAUUCUGGCCAGGUAAUUCCUUUCCAGCCUUCUGGAACGGCCUCAUGUGUACACAGAGGAGGAUCAUUAUACAGACAGCAGGUACUAGAGAGAACUGAGCUAUGAGAGCAGCAAGAACAACAUGUGGACAUUUCAUGGAGGACUUAAAUGAGAGUUCUGAAUAAAAGAUUUCUCUGGGUCACCUAAUCUGACCUAAUCUGGGGCUGGAGUGUACCGGCUGAUUGUUUUCCACUGCUCCACGCAGCUGGAUCCUGGCAGCAAGGCAGGGACCUGUGGGGCACAUGAUCACUGAGGGAGGUGUGGGAUGGUGGCUGGGUCAGCAGAGGGGCUGUGAAAAAUGAAUAUUUUAUGAUUGGCUUUUCGCAAAUAUUAAAAUGAAUAUUAUAUGUGUUGUGUUAGAAAGUAAUGCUGUAUUAAUUCUCUUCAGUAGUGUGUUAAAUAUAGUUUUAGGUUAUAAAAAUUGUUAAAAUAGAAA